rnacentral:rRNA from 1 species
AUUGAACGCUGGCGGCAGGCCUAACACAUGCUAGUCGAGCGGAUGAAGGGAGCUUGCUCCUGGAUUCAGCGGCGGACGGGUGAGUAAUGCCUAGGAAUCUGCCUGGUAGUGGGGGAUAACGUCCGGAAACGGGCGCUAAUACCGCAUACGUCCUGAGGGAGAAAGUGGGGGAUCUUCGGACCUCACGCUAUCAGAUGAGCCUAGGUCGGAUUUGCUAGUUGGUGGGGUAAAGGCCUACCAAGGCGACGAUCCGUAACUGGUCUGAGAGGAUGAUCAGUCACACUGGAACUGAGACACGGUCCAGACUCCUACGGGAGGCAGCAGUGGGGAAUAUUGGACAAUGGGCGAAAGCCUGAUCCAGCCAUGCCGCGUGUGUGAAGAAGGUCUUCGGAUUGUAAAGCACUUUAAGUUGGGAGGAAGGGCAGUAAGUUAAUACCUUGCUGUUUUGACGUUACCAACAGAAUAAGCACCGGCUAACUUCGUG